rnacentral:rRNA from 1 species
AUGGCACCUCAGUCAGUCGCCGCUACAAAACCACACCUCGCACAGGCUGUCGAAUCCUGUAGAGGAUUGAAGGCGAGAGAGAGAGAGAGGGAGAAAAAGAAAUCAGAAGAAAGAAAGCAGGAAUCAUUUCGCCGCUGGAUGAGACCGAAGCAGCCAGGCAGCAGGGAAACAGUAAUCCAAUUAUCCAAAGAAGAGGAGAGGAGAGGGGGCUCGAACUGUCAACGGAUGGUGAUGCCCAUUUGCUGCUGCGUAGGCCAUGGGCAUUUGAUUAGCACCAGUAUCAUGCUGGACGAUGAUGUCUUUGUAGCGUUGCGAUCAUGGCGAUGA